AGCUGUGGGCCACGAAGGGGGGAGCUUUCCUGAGAGCGGAGCCGUGUAGAGAGGUGGAGGCGGGAGUAGGAGCACGCAGGGCCGUGUCCUGCUGGUCUCUCCGGGGUCCCUGGACCAGCUGUGCCUGCAGGCAGUCCCUGGAACUUCAGGUUAUGUGAACUAAAGGAGGUCCCUUCCCGUUUCUUCUCUCUCUCUCUCUCUCUCUCUCUCUCUCUCUCUCUCUCUCGCUUACGCUAAUUGGAACCAAAUAAUGAGCCGCAGAAAGGGUCCCAACUACAUAAAUCCCCACUCUAACUUGAGCCAGUGUGACUUGGGAUUUGAUCUUUGCAUCUGAAAAUGGACACAGCAGGACAAGUGGCCCCCACGUGUCUGUGCAGAGGCCCUGGGAGGAAGGCUCGGGCUCGGAGCAUUGGAGGCUCCAGCCCAGCUGCCCUUCGGCCCAGAAGCUGGGCUCUUGCUGAGUCUGCUGUGUGGUUGUGGGGUGGCUCUCGUCUAUGGAGCAGUGACAUGCCGGGCGCUGAGCCAAGUGCCUAGUGAUGGUAUCUGCUCCUCACGGGGGUCUGGGAAGUGGGUGGCUUCUCGUUACAGGAAGUGGGCUUAGAGGAAUUAAGUGACUCGUUCAAGGUCACGUCAGUAAAGGGAGGAGACCUGAUGUGUCCAGGAUCAUAUGACCUCACGGCCUGGCAUUCAGCAAACCACAGAGCCCCACGGCCUCCCCUUCCCUGCCGUUAAAGGGCCUCCAUGCCCAUCCCCGCUCACGGGGUGGGACCUCGGCACCCCCUGCCCUGCACAAUCCUGCACUUGUCCAGUACAGGCGAGCCGGAUGGACCGUACGUAUCUGAAGUCAUGUCAUGAGAUGUUAGGUGAAGUAUUGAUCCAUGGGGGAUUUUCAGCCCUUCCGGCUGAACAGCAGAGAACAAAGAUGCCAAUCUUCAGGCGUUAAGUGGAAGGACUAAGUGGUAAGAAAUUUGAAAGGGUCAUAAAAGGGUAUAAAGAGCUCUGCAGUGGGAUGAGGGGAGAGUUAUUUUUUUGACUCUUAUUUUUUUUUAAAGGUUUUGUUUAUUCCUGAGAGACAGAGAGAGAGGCAGAGACACAGGCAGAGGGAGAAGCAGGCUCCCUGUGGAGAGCCUGAUGCCGGACUGGGAUCAUACCCUGAGCCAAAGGCAGAUGCUCAACCACUGAGCCACCCAGGCAUCCCGUGAGGAGAGUUUUUAGAAAAAGGCAUUAGGAGCAGGGUAGGAACAAUUCCUUCUAACACUGGGAACUUCCAAGUGCAGGGCCUGUGCGUAGCCCUGUGUUUGGAAUUAGGGAGGACGAUGACAUGUCAGAUGCUCCCUAUGCCACCAGGGCACAUGGAGACGGUCUUUAAGGUCUCAGCAGGUUAGUUGCCCAGAUUUCUCUUGAAUGGAAAAGGAAGGGAGUCCAGAGGACCCUAUGGGCCCCUGGAGUCACAUGGAGUCAGCUGAGAGUGUGCUAGCGAGCUUGCCCCUCGGGCAGUCCUUGCUGGAGCGCAGCAGGAGGGUGGUAUAAGCCCAGCCCCCAAAUGGGGAUGUGACCAAGUCAGACUUGAAUAGAUUGAAUUGAAAUCAGUGAUUAAGCUAGUUUGACUUGAAUGUUACCAGAUUAACUUCUCUGUUGGUUAGAGAUGGGAACUCAUUACGAGGAUAAUAACAAUAAGGAUAUAGUUGGGGUAUCAAGAAAAAAGUCAUUUUUGCAUACCUGAAUUUGGAGGACUGCCAUGUUCCUGGAAUUCCUAUUAUCAUUGGUCAACGUAGGAGGGUUUGUAAGGUGUGGACCUGGAGGGCAAGGUGUGUGUGUGGUUUCUUGGGGUUACUCCUUUCUCCCCACUAGAAGGCCUUUGACUUAGGGUUCAUGGGGGAGAUGUGCUCUGGAGACUUGGUCAAGCCUCACUAUAAAGCUAUUUUGGGGGGCAACCCCGAUGGCCCAGUGGUUUGGCGCCGCUUUCAGCCCGGGGGCAUGAUCCUGGGGACCUGGGAUCGAGUCCCGCGUUGGGCUCCGUGCAUAGAGCCUGCUUCUCCCUCUGCCUGUGUCUCUGCCUAUCUUUCUCUGUCUCUCAUAAAUAAAUGAGUAAAGUCUUAAAAAAAAAAAAAAAAAAAAGCUAUUUUGGGGAAGUCCAUGGUGGGGCCUAGGGUCGGGUAGGCCAGAGAAGACUUAGGCUCCUGGGGCCCACUUCUUCCUGUGACCCAGCCAGCCCUCUGCAAACCCUGGGGCCCCAGAAUAUGGAAUCGCAUGGGAAGUAAUCAUUGUCACUGGAGGACGGUCACUCAGCUUCCUGCCCUAACUCACAAAAGAGCAAAAGUACAAUAGAGAAGGCCCUGGAUUCUGAGGACGAGAAGGAGCUGAUAUUGAUCUGAGUCCAGGUUUACCGAGGGACACUGGUUAUGAUAGGAGAAACCACUGCCGGCCAACAGCGAGAGUAAAGAAGAAUGACAUUUGUUGAGCACCUGUUCCGUGCCAAGCAUUGAACUGAAACUCUUCAGUCUGCCGGGUGAGGAUUACAGAUGCAAAGACUGGUCCGUUGGCCAAGGAGUGUGAGAAUCUAUCCUGUUCUGGAUCCCUCUGUCUUGGAAUUUGCAUGAUUAGUAUCUUCCAGUUGGGCCAGAAGACUUAAUUGUCCUUUCGUAGUGAAGCUGGCUCAUAUUUAUUGAGCAUUUACUACGUGCCAGGCACUGUUUCAAGCACUUUACAUGGAUGAACUCAUUUCUUUCAACAACCCCAGGACUGUGAGGCCCAGAAAGGAUUUUUAAGUAAUUUCUACACCCAACAUGGGGCUCACAUUUACAACCCCAAGAUGGACAGUUGAGCCAGCCAGGUGCCCCACCCCUGGCUUCAGUUCUUGGCUAUGCUGCCUACAGAGCCGUAGACCACAGGCAGAUCCCUUCACCUUUCUGAGCCUUUUUCCUGUUGCCUGUCAAAUGGGAUUGAGACACUCCACCUCAGAGGGUUGUUGUGAGCUGAUGAGAGUAUGAAUAUCGAAGCGGUUUGUAACCUGGACAGCACUACCUACAUUUGAGGUAAUGAAGUCAUCAUUGUGUUAGCAUUAAGAUUCAGGAAAGGAGGGCAGCGCCGAUGGCCCAGCGGUUUAGCGCCGCCUUUAGCCCAGGGUGUGGUCCUGGAGACCCGGAUAGGGUCCCACAUCAGGCUCCCUGCAUGGAGCCUGCUUCUCCCUCUGCCUGUGUCUGCCUCUCUGUGUCUUUCAUGAAUAAAUAAAUAAAUAAAACCUUAAAGAAAAGAUUCAGGAAAGGAGAAGCUUUAGAUAAAUUUUAAGAACUCAGUUAUCUUGGGGCACCUGGGUAGCCCAGUCGGUUAAGCAUCCGUCUUUUGUUCAGGUCAUGAUCUCAGGAUCCUGGGAGGGAGACUGCCCUUGUGUGGGCUCUUUGCUCAGUGGGCAGUC